rnacentral:rRNA from 1 species
AUUGAACGCUGGCAGCAGGCCUAACACAUGCAAGUCGAACGGUAACAGGAAACCGCUUGCUGUUUCGCUGACGAGUGGCGGCCGGGUGAGUAAUGUCUGGGAAACUGCCUGAUGGAGGGGGAUAACUACUGGAGCCGGUAGCUACUACAGCAUAACGUCGCAAGACCAAGGAGGGGGACCUUAGGGCCUCUUGCCCUCGGAUGUGCCCAGAUGGGAUUAGCUGGUAGGUGGGGUAACGGCUCACCUAGGCGACGAUCCCUAGCUGGGCUGAGAGGAUGACCAGCCACACGGGAACUGAGACACAGCCCAGACUCCUACGCGAGGCAGCAGUGGGGAAUAGUGCACAAUGGGGGAAAGCCUGAUACAGCCAUGCCGCGUGUAUGAAGAAGGCCUUCGGGUGGUAAAGUACUUACAGCGGGGAGGAAGGGAGUAAAGUUAAUACGUUUACACAUUGACGGUACCCGCAGAACAAGCACCGGCUAACUCCGUG